UCCGCCAUAGCUCAGCUGGUUAGAGCGCACGGCUGUUAACCGUGAGGUCGUCGGUUCGACCCCGACUGACGGAG
rnacentral:tRNA from 1 species